AUUGAACGCUGGCGGCAGGCCUAACACAUGCAAGUCGAACGGGUGGCGGACGGGUGAGUAAUGCAUGGGAAUCUAGCUUAUGGAGGGGGAUAACAAAGGGAAACUGUAGCAAAUAACGCGCAACAUAGGAUGAGCCCAAGUGGGAUUAGGUAGUUGGAGAGGUAAAGGACCACCAAGCCGACGAACUCGAGCUGGUCUGAGAGGAUGCCCAGCCACACUGUGACUGAGACACGGCCCAGACUCCUACGGGAGGCAGCAGUGGGGAAGAUUGCCCAAUGGGGGCAACCUGACGCAGCCAUGCCGCGUGUAUGAAGAAGGCCUUCGGGUUGUAAAGUUCUUUCGGUAGCGAGGCGUUACCUACAGAAGAAGCACCGGCUAACUCCGUGCCAGCAGCCGCGGUAAUAC
rnacentral:rRNA from 1 species